rnacentral:rRNA from 1 species
AUUGAACGCUGGCGGCAGGCCUAACACAUGCAAGUCGAGCGGAGCGGCGGACGGGUGAGUAAUGCCUAGGAAUCUGACUGGUAGUGGGGGAUAACGUCCGGAAACGGGCUCUAAUACCGCAUACUAUCAGAUGAGCCUAGGUCGGAUUAGCUAGUGGGUGGGGUAAGGGUCUAAAAAGGCGACGAUCCGUAACUGGUCUGAGAGGAUGAUCAGUCACACUUGAACUGAGACACGGUCCAGAUUCCUACGGGAGGCAGCAGGGGGGAAUAUGGGACAAUGGGCGAAAGCCUGAUUCAGCCAUGCCGCGUGGGUGAAGAAGGUCUUCGGAUUGUAAAGCACUUUAAGUUGGGAGGCGUUACCAACAGAAUAAGCACCGGCUAACUUCGUGCCAGCAGCCGCGGUAAUUC